rnacentral:rRNA from 1 species
GGUCAAGUGAAGAAGCGCAUACGGUGGAUGCCUUGGCAGUCAGAGGCGAUGAAAGACGUGGUAGCCUGCGAUAAGCUUCGGGGAGUCGGCAAACAGACUUUGAUCCGGAGAUCUCUGAAUGGGGAAACCCACUUGGCAUAAGCCAGGUAUCUUGCACUGAAUACAUAGGUGUAAGAGGCGAACCAGGGGAACUGAAACAUCUAAGUACCCUGAGGAAAAGAAAUCAACCGAGAUUCCCUUAGUAGUGGCGAGCGAACGGGGACUAGCCCUUAAGCUUCUUUGAAUCUAACAGAACGCUCUGGAAAGUGCGGCCAUAGUGGGUGAUAGCCCCGUAUGUGAAAGGUUCUUUGAAGUGAAAUCGAGUAGGACGGAGCACGAGAAACUUUGUCUGAAUAUGGGGGGACCAUCCUCCAAGGCUAAAUACUACUGACUGACCGAUAGUGAACCAGUACCGUGAGGGAAAGGCGAAAAGAACCCCGGAGAGGGGAGUGAAAUAGAACCUGAAACCGUAUGCGUACAAGCAGUGGGAGCCUACUUUGUUAGGUGACUGCGUACCUUUUGUAUAAUGGGUCAGCGACUUAUAUUCAGUGGCGAGCUUAACCGAAUAGGGAAGGCGUAGCGAAAGCGAGUCUUAAUAGGGCGAAUUAGUCGCUGGGUAUAGACCCGAAACCGGGCGAUCUAUCCAUGAGCAGGUUGAAGGUUAGGUAACACUGACUGGAGGACCGAACCCACUCCCGUUGAAAAGGUAGGGGAUGACUUGUGGAUCGGAGUGAAAGGCUAAUCAAGCUCGGAGAUAGCUGGUUCUCCUCGAAAGCUAUUUAGGUAGCGCCUCACGUAUCACUCCAGGGGGUAGAGCACUGUUUCGGCUAGGGGGUCAUCCCGACUUACCAAACCGAUGCAAACUCCGAAUACCUGGAAGUGUCAGCGUGGGAGACACACGGCGGGUGCUAACGUCCGUCGUGAAAAGGGAAACAACCCAGACCGUCAGCUAAGGUCCCAAAGUUAUGGUUAAGUGGUAAACGAUGUGGGAAGGCUUAGACAGCUAGGAGGUUGGCUUAGAAGCAGCCACCCUUUAAAGAAAGCGUAAUAGCUCACUAGUCGAGUCGGCCUGCGCGGAAGAUGUAACGGGGCUCAAACCAUACACCGAAGCUACGGGUGCAUCGCAAGAUGCGCGGUAGAGGAGCGUUCUGUAAGCCUGUGAAGGUGAGUUGAGAAGCUUGCUGGAGGUAUCAGAAGUGCGAAUGCUGACAUGAGUAACGACAAUGGGAGUGAAAAACUCCCACGCCGAAAGACCAAGGGUUCCUGCGCAACGUUAAUCGACGCAGGGUUAGUCGGUCCCUAAGGCGAGGCUGAAGAGCGUAGUCGAUGGGAAACAGGUUAAUAUUCCUGUACUUCUAGUUACUGCGAUGGAGGGACGGAGAAGGCUAGGCCAGCUUGGCGUUGGUUGUCCAAGUUUAAGGUGGUAGGCAGAGAUCUUAGGUAAAUCCGGGGUCUUAAUGCCGAGAGCUGAUGACG